GAGCUCCUUGAGGAUAUGAGAACGUGAGGAAGGAGGCCUUGUUGAGGAUUAUACUCUAACCUAGCCGGGGGUGAGUUUGAUUAGAGCUGAUUUGAAGAUUUGGGGGCCAGCUUUUGGAACGAAGGAAGAGUGGUUUUGCUGUGUUUCGCAGUCCUAACUCAGCUAGAAAUUGAGUUGAAGCCUUGUGAGCUGAUGUGGAGAGGUUUGUAGCAGCUGUAGAAGAGAUAUUUUAGCUGUGGUUCGUCACUCCUAACUCAGUCGAAGCUGAGUUGAAGCGUUGGGAAGGAGAUCCUUGUAGAUCGAUGUUGGUGUGCUUCAACCUGAGUUGGAGCUAUGCAAGCAGAAUUCGCAGCGGGUUGUUGAAUCCCUUUAGCUGGAAUUUGUGAGCUUCAGAAGGGUAAUUUUGAUGUACUCCAAUCAGAAUUGAAGUGGAAUCCAAGUUGGAUUUAUUCUAGGGUACUUGGAAGCUUCGGAUUACCUUCAUUGUGGGAUCGACGAGAAUCGACAACAAUUAGGUGGAUCGGACUUUCCCGAAAUUGAGCCUUCCACAGCGGGAAAGGCUAGAGUUCCGGCAAGGGGUCAGCGGAUAGCUAGAGCCUCCUCGAUGUUAAACAGAUGGAACCAUAUCAGCUUUUCUAGUUUAGUUCAGUGUUGUAUAUUAGAACUAUGUAGAAUGUACUUUGAACUUUUCUUUUAAGUUGUAAUAAGGUUUUGUGUUGUAUAAGUUUAUGAACUUUUCGU